rnacentral:misc_RNA from 1 species
GAUGAAGAACGUAGCGAAAUGCGAUAAGUAAUGUGAAUUGCAGAAUUCAGUGAAUCAUCGAAUCUUUGAACGCACAUUGCGCCCGCUAGUAUUCUGGCGGGCAUGCCUGUCCGAGCGUCAUUUCAACCCUCAAGCCCCCGGGCUUGGUGUUGGGGAUCGGCGAGCCUCCGCGCCCGCCGUCCCCUAAAUCUAGUGGCGGUCUCGCUGUAGCUUCCUCUGCGUAGUAGCACACCUCGCACUGGGAAACAGCGCGGCCACGCCGUUAAACCCCCAACUUCUGAACGUUUGACCUCGGAUCAGGUAGGAAUACCCGCUGAACUUAAGCAUAUCAACAAGCGGAGGA